AACGAACGCUGGCGGUAUGCUUAACACAUGCAAGUCGAACGAACAAAAUUGGGGCUUGCUCCAAUUUUAGUGAGUGGCAAACGGGUGAGUAACACGUGGGAAUCUACCUAUCAGUACGGAAUAACAUUUGGAAACAGAUGCUAAUACCGUAUAUUCUCCAAGGAGGAAAGAUUUAUCGCUGAUAGAUGAGCCCGCGUAAGAUUAGGUAGUUGGUAGGGUAGUGGCCUACCAAGCCGACGAUCUUUAGCUGGUCUGAGAGGAUGAUCAGCCACACUGGGACCGAGAGACGGCCCAGACUCCUACGGGAGGCAGCAGUGGGGAAUAUUGGACAAUGGGCGAAAGACUGAUCCAGCAAUACCGCGUGAAUGAUGAAGGCCUUAGGGUUGUAAAGUUCUUUUAGUUGGAAAGAUAAUGACGGUACCAACAGAAAAAGCCCCGGCUAGCUCCGUGCCAGCAGCCGCAGUAA
rnacentral:rRNA from 1 species